UGGGGAAUAUUGCACAAUGGGCGCAAGCCUGAUGCAGCCAUGCCGCGUGUGUGAAGAAGGCCUUCGGGUUGUAAAGCACUUUCAGCGGGGAGGAAGGCGGUGAGGUUAAUAACCUCAUCAAUUGACGUUACCGACAGAAGAAGCACCGGCUAACUCCGUGCCAGCAGCCGCGGUAAUACGGAGGGUGCAAGCGUUAAUCGGAAUUACUGGGCGUAAAGCGCACGCAGGCGGUUGAUUGAGUCAGAUGUGAAAUCCCCGGGCUUAACCCGGGAAUUGCAUCUGAUACUGGUCAGCUAGAGUCUUGUAGAGGGGGGUAGAAUUCCAUGUGUAGCGGUGAAAUGCGUAGAGAUGUGGAGGAAUACCGGUGGCGAAGGCGGCCCCCUGGACAAAGACUGACGCUCAGGUGCGAAAGCGUGGGGAGCAAACAGG
rnacentral:rRNA from 1 species